rnacentral:tRNA from 1 species
GGGCGAUUGGCUCAGUGGUAGAGCAUCUCGUUUACACCGAGGGGGUCGGCGGUUCGAGUCCGUCAUCGCCCACCA